CUGGCAACGCCAGUGAUGCAAUUGUUCGUAUCGAUAAGCAGCACGAGUUGAGAAAGACAGAAGAGAGAGCAACACAGAAUAAAUAAAACUGAUUCCAGAGUGUACGCCAUUUUUUCAGCGCUUUCUUUGUCCUACUUAUUUUCAAGAUUGCUAAAAUUGUAAGAAAUUCCUUGAGAGCACCUGAAAGCUAAAUUUCUUCCGAGUUCUCAGUAAGUUAAGACGAUCGACAUAGGCUCCCAUAUACAGAUUAAACUGUCUAUUGCUUUUCUUUUUCCCAAACAAAUCCAACAAAAUGCCUGAGACAAAGAUUGUCAGACUGCUCACUACUAGUGGAGGAAUCCCACAAUCAAUGAAAUCAUACAGAACUAUAAAUGUUUCUCAGUCUGGACCACACGCCUCCACCCCACAAUACAAGAAAUUUCAUCACCGAGGUCAGAUGAAGACACAGACAGCGCCUCGCUUUCAAAGAAUGCACUGCUGGCCAGAGAAAACCGUCUUAAGAAGAAACGUUACAUAAAUGGACUUGAAGAAAAUCUCUCUGCAGCCAAGAAAGAAAACGAAUACCUGGUGGACAAGUUGAAGGAAAAGGACAGUACCAUUGAUGAACUUCAAAAAGAGAUUCUGUACUUCAAAAGUAUUCUAGCUAAUGUUCAAGAGAUAUCUGGACUCAUCAAAACUAUCAAACAGGAUUCAUCUAUUCCCAUGUCUACAUCUUUAAGGCCAACCUAUCCUUUAAAGAGAACAGCUGCUGUGGAAUUGUCAGUCAUUGAAGGUUCAAAAAAGAUCAAAAUGGAACGGACGAGUGAAAGUUCCAGCGGCACCAGUACCAUCCAUGAUGAGGACGACUGCUAUGACUGGAUGCCCAGUUCACCCAUGUGCCCAACACAACUUGAUGCGGAAUCCCUUGACGUUUUGUCCAAUUUCAGUGAAGAAGAUAUAAAUUUAUUUGGUGAUGACACACUUCUUCCCGAGACUACCCGUCAAGCCGUACCUCUUCCAGCUGGAGUGUGUUUACAUGUUUUCAACAAGCAAAUGUCACUCGAAUUUUGUGUCGCGUGUGCUACCAGAGCCCAGGAGAAAUGGUCUGCACAAGUUUGAGGAUAUGGAAACCUAUCAAAUUACAAACAUUCUUAAAUUGUUGUUACACAUUGAUGGAGCCUACCACCCCAUAUAUGAUCAACUACCGAGGUUCUUGCACCAUUGGGUUAGGUUAUUAAUGUAUCGUAAAAUGGUCUGUUUCCUUUCAUUAUAAUCCUGGUCGAUCCUUGUAAAUCGGAAAAAAUUAUUAAUGCCGUGCAGUGUUUUGUUUCGUUACAGGUUGCAGCGUUCUAAAGGAAGAAAGGUGGAAGUCCGCCGAAACAAUCUGGUUUUUGUAAAUACGUUUUUUCAACCCAUUUCUAGAUAAGAACAACUGGCAUGGCUUAUUUUUUUUUUGUAUAACACUGCGCCGUCGUAUGCAGAAUACAAUUGUAUAUUAAUAA
rnacentral:misc_RNA from 1 species